rnacentral:lncRNA from 1 species
GUUCAUGAUUCCACUUCUGGGGAACGUACAGGAUGAAAAACUGUCUGAGAAAUGCCACAGCAGCCACCCAUCUCUCUUCAACUACUUUCUCAGCUAAAGGUGAAAUAUUUCUGCUCCAACUCAAGGCAUCCAGGAGUCAGACAUUUAUGUUUGGGCUGGUCAGAGCUGCAGCCAUUCUCCCUUUGCAGCUGACAAGGAGAAAUGGGAACCUCCAGAAGGUUGUUCAGCUUAUCCUCAGGCAGAUAUCUAUGGUGGAUCAGAAGAUUUGCUCUCAGAAAGUGCCUUCUUGUCUCCACUGCAAGAGUUCCUGUGACCACCAUCUCCUCCCAGGCUCAUCUGCUAAAGCCCCUCCUGGAAAAGGUCUCUCUUCAUAAUUUAGAUUCCAGCAUCCUUUUUUUGGAAAUUAACAACCACAUGGAGAUGGUCUGAUUGCACAGAGCCUUGUUGAGCUAGAGUCAACAUUUCCUUAACCUCUU